GGAAGACAUGAUGAGCACACGAUGGAUGCCAUGGCGCUGCGUGCCGAGGAAGGACGGGGCACGGCACCGAUAUGCUCCGGGGAGCCGCGUGCAGGCUGUGAUCCGGAGAUUUCCGAAUGGGGCAACCCGCCACCGUCAGGUGGCGCUCCUUCGUGGAGCGGGAACCCGGCCAACUGAAACAUCUCAGUAGCCGGAGGAAGAGCGAGCGACGCCCGUAGUAGCGGCGAGCGAACCGGGCGAGGCCUAAACCGUGGCCGUGCCAAGCCGCCAAGCGUUGCGGCCACGGGGUUGAAGGACUGGCCGGCCGGGGUUGGCGACCCGGCGCCGACCGACCGUUGUUAGGCGAAGCAGUGUGGAACCCUGCACCGCAGAGCGUGAGAGUCGCGUAGCCGGCGACCUCAGGUCGGACGCCAGCUCCUGAGUAGGUCCGGGCACGAAGAACCCGGACUGAAGCUGGGCAGACCACUGUCCAAGGCGAGCUACACGCAGUGACCGAUAGCGCACAGUACCGUGAGGGAACGGUGAAAAGUACCCCGGUGAGGGGAGUGAAACAGACCCUGAAAUCGUGUGCUUCCACGCCGUGGGAGCCGGCGUGUCCGGUGACCGCGUGCCUUUUGGAGUAUGAUCCGGCGAGUUAUCCUCAGUGGCGCGGUUAAGGCAGUACCAGCCGGAGCCGGAGUGAACGCGAGCCUGAAUAGGGCGAACGUCGCUGGGGAUAGACCCGAAACCGUGUGAGCUACCCAUGGCCAGGCUGAAGCGUCCCUAACAGGACGUGGAGGGCCGCACCGGUGUCUGUUGCAAAAGGCUCGGAUGAGCUGUGGGUAGGGGUGAAAUGCCAAUCGAACACGGAGAUAGCUGGUUCUCCCCGAAAUGUAUUGAGGUACAGCCGCGGGCUAGGCACGGGCGGAGGUAGAGCGCUGUUGUUGUGCGGGGGCUUCACCGCUUACCAAGCGACGGCAAACUGCGAAUGCCGCGCGUGCGCGCCGCGAGUGAGACGGCGGGUGCGAAUAUCCGUCGUCGAGAGGGAAACAACCCAGACCGCCAGCUAAGGCCCCCAAGUCAUCGCUAAGUGGGAAAGGUUGUGGCGCCGCCGAGACAACCAGGAGGUUGGCUUAGAAGCAGCCAUCCUUGAAAGAGUGCGUAACAGCUCACUGGUCAAGCAGCGCUGCGCCGAGGCUGUAACGGGGCAAAGCGAUGCGCCGAAGCUGCGGGUUCGGGCAACCGAACGGUAGGGGAGCGUCGUCAGCGCGGCGAAGCCGGCGCGGAAGCGUCGGUGGAGGGCUGACGAGUGCGAAUGCCGGAAUGAGUAACGGAGAAGCGAUGUAGCAAUCAUCGCCACCGAAAGUCUAAGGGUUCUGCCGCACGGGUGAACCGCGGCAGGGUAGUCGGGCCUAAGGCGCAAGCGAAUGCGGAUGCCGAUGGACAACAGGUUGAUAGUCCUGUACCGUGGCGUGGUCGUUUGACCAAGGCCGGAUGCUGAGGGGUAGUCGCCGCGGCGAGACGAGCGCCGUCCAAGCUGGUAGGGAGCCGAGCGCGGCAAAUCCCGUUCGGCGCUGACCGAGAGGCGAGUGAAAGGGGGCAGGGCAACCUGCCGCCAAUGGCGAGGCGCCUGUGCAGCCACGAAAGGCCGGCUCGGGAGACCACCCACGCCCGUACCGCAAACCGACACAGGUAGACAGGUCGAGGAGACCAAGGUGGACGAGUGACCCCCAGUUAAGGAACUCGGCAAAUUGACCCCGUACCUUCGGAAGAAGGGGUGCUGCGUGUAGCGUGAAGCCCCAAGCGGGUGGAGCGCGAGGCAGCCGCAGGGUCCCGGCCCGGGCGACUGGAUACCAGAACCACAGCUCCCUGCUGAAGCCGAAAGGCGACGUAUAGGGGGUGAUGCCUGCCCAGUGCCGGAAGGUUAAGGGGAGGGGUGCAAGCUCCAAACCGAAGCCCCGGUAAACGGCGGCUGUAACUAUAACAGUCCUAAGGUAGCGAAAUUCCUUGUCGGGUAAGUUCCGAC
rnacentral:rRNA from 1 species